GCCCUUGUGGCUCGUCAAACUAAAAACGCCCUUCGUACAGUCUGGAUGGAAGCGAUCUGAAUGCUACCUGUCACACGUCACCUUCGCUGUCUUUCCCUCCACAAACUUUAUGUUGCACUCUGUUAUCUAACCAACAUCCUGCUGACUAAGCAU